AACGAACGCUGGCGGCAGGCUUAACACAUGCAAGUCGAACGCCCCGCAAGGGGAGUGGCAGACGGGUGAGUAACGCGUGGGAACAUACCCUUUUCUACGGAAUAGCUCUGGGAAACUGGAAUUAAUACCGUGUACGCCCUACGGGGGAAAGAUUUAUCGGGGAAGGAUUGGCCCGCGUUGGAUUAGCUAGUUGGUGGGGUAAAGGCCUACCAAGGCGACGAUCCAUAGCUGGUCUGAGAGGAUGAUCAGCCACAUUGGGACUGAGACACGGCCCAAACUCCUACGGGAGGCAGCAGUGGGGAAUAUUGGACAAUGGGCGCAAGCCUGAUCCAGCCAUGCCGCGUGAGUGAUGAAGGCCUUAGGGUUGUAAAGCUCUUUCACCGAUGAAGAUAAUGACGGUAGUCGGAGAAGAAGCCCCGGCUAACUUCGUG
rnacentral:rRNA from 1 species